rnacentral:rRNA from 1 species
GAUGAACGCCAGCGGCAGGCCUAAUACAUGCAAGUCGAACGGUGUCUUCGGACAUAGUGGCGCACGGGUGCGUAACACGUAUGCAACCUACCUUACAUUGGGGGAUAGCCUUUCGAAAGGGAGAUUAGUACCGCAUAAGACAGUAGCUGGGCAUCCAGCAGCUGUUAAAGAUUUAUCGAUGUAAGCUGGGCAUGCGUCCAAUUAGCUAGUUGGUGAGGUAACGGCUCACCAAGGCAAUGAUUGGUAGGGGAACUGAGAGGUCAAUCCCCCACACUGGCACUGAGAUACGGGCCAGACUCCUACGGGAGGCAGCAGUAGGGAAUAUUGGGCAAUGGACGCAAGUCUGACCCAGCCAUGCCGCGUGCAGGAUGAAGGCGUUAUGCGUUGUAAACUGCUUUUAUACAGGAAGAAACGACUCUUGCGAGAGGCACUGACGGUACUGUAUGAAUAAGCACCGGCUAACUCCGUGCCAGCCGCCGCGGUAAGAC